GUUUAAUUGCUGUGGAUAACCAUCGAUCAUUGCAGGGAUGCCCCUGGGACAGUGGACUUUGAGAAAGGAGAAAACAGGAACUGCCAGAGCAUUCCUGCCCCUGGUUACUGAUGGUAGAGGUGGUUCAGAGGAACACAUGCCCAUCCAAGGUAAGAGUGAAGAUUUAGAAAUACCAUAUCCAGUGGUGUUGCAAAGAUCAGAGUGGAGAGCACUUCAUACCCAAGUUUUAUAAUCUCAGAACAACUGGA